UGGUCAAGUUAUUAAGGGUGCAGGGCGGAUGCCUUGGCACUAGGAGCCGAUGAAGGACGUGAUAAGCUGCGAUAAGCUUCGGGGAGUUGCACGUAAACUUUGAUCCGAAGAUUUCCGAAUGAGGAAACUCACUUAGAGUAAUGUCUAAGUAUCAUUAAGUGAAUACAUAGCUUAAUGAGGGGAACUCAGGGAACUGAAACAUCUAAGUACCUGAAGGAAGAGAAAGAAAUUCGAUUCCGUAAGUAGCGGCGAGCGAACGCGGAUUAGCCCAAACCAAUAAAGUUUUCUUUAUUGGGGUUGCGGACAUAUCAUAACGAAGAGGUAUCGU
rnacentral:rRNA from 1 species